rnacentral:rRNA from 1 species
CACGUAGGGUGCGAGCGUUGUCCGGAUUUAUUGGGCGUAAAGAGCGUGUAGGCGGCCAUACAGGUCCGUUGUGAAAACUGGAGGCUUAACCUCCAGACGUCGAUGGAAACCGUAUGGCUAGAGUCCGGAAGAGGAGAGUGGAAUUCCUGGUGUAGCGGUGAAAUGCGCAGAUAUCAGGAAGAACACCCGUGGCGAAGGCGGCUCUCUGGGACGGUACUGACGCUGAGACGCGAAAGCGUGGGGAGCGAACAGG